AACCCAACAGGCCCUUGGGAUUCCCUCAUGAACACAAUUGCAGAUUUUUUUUCACAGAAUUAAGAAAAGCCAAACAUUUGAUCAAUAAGUUAAGAGGCCAUUUUGUGCCUUGGAUACAUUCAUGGUGGAAGGAUUUCUGGUAGAAUUUAGGAAAGCUGACAUUGGUUAAAAUAGCCUUAGAAUAGCCUUAGAAUUGGUUAAAAUGCCUUAGAAAGCUAUCCAGGAGAAAACCUGUCUCCUUCUGUAUGAAAGGAGAAGGAUAGGGAUGUCAUAAUAACACAGUACUGAAAAAGGCUGUUUGCUUUCUGGUGAUGGUUUCCACUGUUCAAAUGAAUAUCUAAACCUUUAAUGAAGUCAGCAAGAAUGCUGAAAGAUGACCUGAAGAAGACUUCUGGAAACAAAGUGCUGGGUCCUGACUGAAAAUUCAUGGUAAUGCCUAUUUUAUUACGGAUUACCAUCAUCAUCCACAAAAAGAUUCUUUUCUACAUCUGCAACAUUCUGCAAAAUGGCCCGGAAAAAGUAAUUCUUUGGAAAAGUCACAGACUCUCCUUCCCCCUUCUGACUUCCGACGUUCCUUUUUGGUCAACAAAACCCCCACCUCUCUUUGUGUGAGUUUUUCAAGGCAGAUCUAUCACAUACACAGCUCAAAAUGAAUGAUGAAAAUUGAUGCAUAGAUACACUAUGGAAAAUCUUCAAUAGGCACCAGAAUUGUAUGACACUUCAAACACUGU
rnacentral:lncRNA from 1 species